rnacentral:rRNA from 1 species
UCCGGUUGAUCCCGCCGGACCUGACUGCUAUCGGAUUGGUACUAAGCCAUGCGAGUCAUUGUAGCAAUACAAGGCGGACGGCUCAGUAACACGUAGUCAACCUAACUCGUGGACGUGGAUAACCUCGGGAAACUGAGAAUAAACCGCGAUAGAUCAUUAUGCCUGGAAUGGCUUAUGGUCCAAAUAGUUUACUGCCAUGGGAUGGGACUGCGGCCUAUCAGCUUGUUGGUGAGGUAAUGGCCCACCAAGGCUAUAACAGGUACGGGCUCUGAGAGGAGAAGCCCGGAGAUGGGUACUGAGACACGGACCCAGGCCCUAUGGGGCGCAGCAGGCGAGAAACCUUAGCAAUGUGCGAAAGCACGACUGGGUCAGUCCGAGUGAUUCCUGAUAAAGGAGUCUUUUGCUUGUCCUAAAAGCACAGGUGAAUAAGGAGUGGGCAAGUCUGGUGUCAGCCGCCGCGGUAAUACCAGCACCUCGAGUGGUCAGGACGUUUAUUGGGCCUAAAGCAUCCGUAGCCGGCUCUGCAAGUCUUCGGUUAAAUCCACCUGCUCAACAGAUGGGCCGCUGGAGAUACUACAGAGCUAGGGAGUGGGAGAGGCAGACGGUAUUCAGUGGGU